rnacentral:rRNA from 1 species
AGAGUUUGAUCCUGGCUCAGAGCGAACGUUAGCGGCGGGCUUAACACAUGCAAGUCGAACGAGAAAGGGAGCUUGCUCCUGAGUAAAGUGGCGCACGGGUGAGUAACACGUAGGCAAUCUACCCUUUGGCGGGGGACAACCUCCUGAAAAGGAGGCUAAUACCGCGUAAGACCGCAGUCACCUCGGUGACCGUGGUGAAAGGUGGCCUCUCCUUGGAAGCUACCACCGAAGGAUGAACCUGCGUCCCAUCAGCUAGUUGGUGAGGUAAUAGCUCACCAAGGCAAAGACGGGUAGCUGGUCUGAGAGGAUGAUCAGCCACACUGGCACUGGAACACGGGCCAGACUCCCACGGGAGGCAGCAGUGAGGAAUAUUGGGCAAUGGGCGAAAGCCUGACCCAGCCACGCCGCGUGAGUGAUGAAGGCCCUCGGGUCGUAAAGCUCUGUGGGGAGGGACGAAAACGCUUCAUUCGAAUAGGGUGAAGUCUUGACGGUACCUCCUUAGCAAGCACCGGCUAACUCUGUGCCAGCAGCCGCGGUAAGACAGAGGGUGCGAACGUUGCUCGGAAUUACUGGGCGUAAAGCGCGUGUAGGCGGACUUGUAAGUCGAUUGUGAAAGCCCUGGGCUCAACCCAGGAACUGCAUUCGAAACUACAAGUCUUGAGUGGUGGAGAGGGAAGCGGAAUUCCCGGUGUAGAGGUGAAAUUCGUAGAUAUCGGGAGGAACACCAGCGGCGAAGGCGGCUUCCUGGACACCAACUGACGCUGAGACGCGAAAGCGUGGGGAGCAAACAGGAUUAGAUACCCUGGUAGUCCACGCCGUAAACGAUGAGUGCUAGGUGCUGUGGGUAUUGACCCCUGCAGUGCCGAAGUUAACGCAUUAAGCACUCCGCCUGGGGAGUACGGCCGCAAGGCUAAAACUCAAAGGAAUUGACGGGGGCCCGCACAAGCGGUGGAGCAUGUGGUUUAAU